UACGUAGGGGGCUAGCGUUGUCCGGAAUCAUUGGGCGUAAAGCGCGUGUAGGCGGUCCGGUAAGUCCGCUGUGAAAGUCGAGGGCUCAACCCUCGAAUGCCGGUGGAUACUGUCGGGCUUGAGUACGGGAGAGGCGAGUGGAAUUCCUGGUGUAGCGGUGAAAUGCGUAGAUAUCGAGAGGAACACCUGAGGUGAAGACGGGUUGCUGGGCCGACACUGACGCUGACAGCGCGAAAGCCAGGGGAGCAAACGGG
rnacentral:rRNA from 1 species